GUAACUAUAACGGUCCUAAGGUAGCGAAAUUCCUUGUCGGGUAAGUUCCGACCUGCACGAAUGGCGUAAUGAUGGCCAGGCUGUCUCCACCCGAGACUCAGUGAAAUUGAACUCGCUGUGAAGAUGCAGUGUACCCGCGGCAAGACGGAAAGACCCCGUGAACCUUUACUAUAGCUUGACACUGAACAUUGAGCCUUGAUGUGUAGGAUAGGUGGGAGGCUUUGAAGUGUGGACGCCAGUCUGCAUGGAGCCGACCUUGAAAUACCACCCUUUAAUGUUUGAUGUUCUAACGUGGACCCGUAAUCCGGGUUGCGGACAGUGUCUGGUGGGUAGUUUGACUGGGGCGGUCUCCUCCUAAAGAGUAACGGAGGAGCACGAAGGUUGGCUAAUCCUGGUCGGACAUCAGGAGGUUAGUGCAAUGGCAUAAGCCAGCUUGACUGCGAGCGUGACGGCGCGAGCAGGUGCGAAAGCAGGUCAUAGUGAUCCGGUGGUUCUGAAUGGAAGGGCCAUCGCUCAACGGAUAAAAGGUACUCCGGGGAUAACAGGCUGAUACCGCCCAAGAGUUCAUAUCGACGGCGGUGUUUGGCACCUCGAUGUCGGCUCAUCACAUCCUGGGGCUGAAGUAGGUCCCAAGGGUAUGGCUGUUCGCCAUUUAAAGUGGUACGCGAGCUGGGUUUAGAACGUCGUGAGACAGUUCGGUCCCUAUCUGCCGUGGGCGCUGGAGAACUGAGGGGGGCUGCUCCUAGUACGAGAGGACCGGAGUGGACGCAUCACUGGUGUUCGGGUUGUCAUGCCAAUGGCACUGCCCGGUAGCUAAAUGCGGAAGAGAUAAGUGCUGAAAGCAUCUAAGCACGAAACUUGCCCCGAGAUGAGUUCUCCCUGAGACUUAGAGUCUCCUGAAGGAACGUUGAAGACGACGACGUUGAUAGGCCGGGUGUGUAAGCGCAGCGAUGCGUUGAGCUAACCGGUACUAAUGAACCGUGAGGCUUAACCUUAC
rnacentral:rRNA from 1 species